GACGAACGCUGGCGGCGUGCCUAAUGCAUGCAAGUCGAACGCUUCCUACCGGUGCUUGCACCGGGAAAGAAGAGUGGCGGACGGGUGAGUAACACGUGGGUAACCUACCUACAAGCGGGGGAUAACAUUCGGAAACGGAUGCUAAUACCGCAUAGAUCUUUUUGUCUCCUGGCAGAAAGAAGAAAGACGGUUUCGGCUGUCACUUGUAGAUGGACCCGCGGCGCAUUAGUUAGUUGGUGAGGUAAUGGCUCACCAAGACGAUGAUGCGUAGCCGACCUGAGAGGGUGAUCGGCCACACUGGGACUGAGACACGGCCCAGACUCCUACGGGAGGCAGCAGUAGGGAAUCUUCCGCAAUGGACGAAAGUCCGACGGAGCAACGCCGCGUGAGUGAAGAAGGUUUUCGGAUCGUAAAACUCUGUUGUUAGAGAAGAACAAGGAUGAGAGUAACUGCUCGUCCCUUGACGGUAUCUAACCAGAAAGCCAUGGCUAACUACGUGCCAGCCGCCGCUGUAA
rnacentral:rRNA from 1 species